AACAGCAUCCGCCUGAGCUCUGAGAGCGACUCGGACUCUCAGGAUCAGCUUCAUGCUGAGGCUGAAACAGCUGCUGCUCAGGAGGAAGCACUGAAACUCCCACGAUCACAGUGUGUAACUCGUCACGGCAAGCACGAAGUGGCUUCUGCUGAACUAGAAAGAAAAAAAAAACUGGGAGGAGACGGUUUCAUCGCAGCUGUGGAUCAACGCAUGAUGAACGAGCUUCGAAGCAACCGGAGCCAACGAGAGGAGAAGAAGAAAGGGACCGCCCUUUGAGCUUAAAGGGGGCUCCUGAUUGGAUAGUCUGUCCUCAAACUCAGUCAGUAAGAGCUCCCCAGCUGUGAGGCGACUGUCAGCGGUACUGGGGGUCGGGUUGGGCGUGUCUGUUACUUUAAGAAACUCAUUAAAAUCUCAAAGUUUGUAUUAUUAGGGGCGUGGCCUCUUUGGUUGACAGAAAA